AAUUACGGCCAUAUCUACUGUAAAGCACCGGAACUCGUCAGAUCUCCGAAGUUAAGCCAGUAAGAGUCUUGUUAGUACUAAGAUGGGAGACCGCUUGGAAAAGCAGGGUGUUGUAAUUU
rnacentral:rRNA from 1 species